rnacentral:rRNA from 1 species
ACGAGCGCACCCUUUUCCUUACUUGCCAGCAUUUCGGAUGGGAACUUUAAGGAUACUGCCAGUGACAAACUGGAGGAAGGCGGGGACGACGUCAAGUCAUCAUGGCCCUUACGGCCAGGGCUACACACGUGCUACAAUGGUCGGUACAAAGGGUUGCUACCUAGCGAUAGGAUGCUAAUCUCAAAAAGCCGAUCGUAGUCCGGAUUGGAGUCUGCAACUCGACUCCAUGAAGUCGGAAUCGCUAGUAAUCGCGGAUCAAAAUGCCGCGGUGAAUACGUUC